rnacentral:rRNA from 1 species
AAUGCCCUACGGGGGGCAGCAGUGGAGAAUAUUGGUCAAUGGACGAGAGUCUGAACCAGCCACGUAGCGUGAAGGAUGACUGCCCUAUGGGUUGUAAACUUCUUUUAUAAAGGAAUAAAACGAGGCACGUGUGCCUUUUUGCAUGUACUUUAUGAAUAAGGAUCGGCUAACUCCGUGCCAGCAGCCGCGGUAAUACGGAGGAUCCGAGCGUUAUCCGGAUUUAUUGGGUUUAAAGGGAGCGUAGAUGGGUUGUUAAGUCAGUUGUGAAAGUUUGCGGCUCAACCGUAAAAUUGCAAUUGAUACUG